rnacentral:snRNA from 1 species
CUCAAAACGACAGAUCUUUGAGA